CAGCCUUCUUACGCCCCCAUGCAGUCAGAAAAACAAGUCAUAAUACAUUGGAAAUUUAUACCUCGAACUUUGCAAUCAAACACUGAACUAAUUGAUUGAUCACCUGGAGAUUACGCUUAGAAUUCAGCUAGAACUAACGGUAACUCCUGCUAAACUCCCUUUAGCACUAUCAAUGAUUAAAACGAUAGCCAGAAAAAUUUUUUCACGAAGAAAAUUAACACGAAACCUCCAUUUCAUUUUCAUCACUUCAAGCCUGGUCUUUUGUUGCGUGUCAAGGAACUUUUUAUUAGGCGGCCCCACUCUCCGAUAAUCGAACACAUGCACACAUACGCUCAGAUGAUGAAAACGAAUACAUUUACGCCCUCGUAAAUUUGUUCCAUCAUAUUAAUCUAGCGGUAGUAAUUGCUUAUAAUUUCCAGAUAUUGUUGGCAUAAAAAUGUUAUCUUAACCGGUUGGAUCAUUUAAAAAUCACUUUAAAUAGGCUGCGUGCCAAUGUAACGAGAAAUAUUGCACGCAAUAUUAUUGUGUACUUCUUGGUUUUUAUUUUUUACCGAAAAGGGUAACUUGGGAGCGAGGCCAUUAAUGUCAAGUCCGUGCUAUUGUUUAUAGCUGUGUAUGUAGUAGUUAAAGGUUUUAUGAGGCUUUGAAAAGACUGACGAAAAUUAAACGCUUCGGACUCAAGUAGACGUCAGUACUGAAAACAAACAACGCUCGAAAAUCUAUUAUGCAUUGACAGGGCUGAAAAUAUUUAUACAUUGACAGAACAGAACCGACAAGGAUAAUGAAACUCAUCCAUCAUCAAAGGAUCUGCACGAAAAUAGUCAUUAGAUUGUGUGUUUAUGUCCCGGUUGAUGGUUUUUCAUUCAUGGGGAGUUUCUGCACGAACACUGUCCUGUGGUUUGAAAGGACUCCAAUUAGUAAAUGGUUAAAGUGGUAGCAGUGAAAAAAAAUAUUGAACUGCAGGACUCUUGAAGGAAGAGACUUUACUGAGCGAAAGAAAAUUAAUAACUUUUGGGAUGGCGGAAAAGAGGAGUCAGUGAAUCUGUUUGACCUACUUUCAGGAAUCCCAGAGGAAAGUUGGAAAACCGGAGCUCAAUGAAGCUGGGAUAUACAAAUAGCGAAGCGAGUGUGAUCCAACUGUGACAGGAACCAGGAGCGCGGAUUAUGAUUACUUACAAAAUCAUUGGCUUCAUUUCACUUGUACUAGAAACUAACGAAAUGUGUGUCGUUUCUCUGAGAAAAACUCGCAACGGCGAACAGGACAAUUGAUUUUCAAAAUCCCGACUCUCCAACUGUGAAGCAAAUCUCUGGGGUUUUCUGCAAAAACAACAAAGCCAAUAACCCAAAAUUAUAAUUGGGACAGAUCACCUGACAACAUCAUGAUGGCAAGCGCUGACGUAAUCCUUAAUAAGAAAACACAAAACCAUCUAUGUACAAACAUAUAAUUGAGGUGGACAACUACUAACAUGUUUCUAUGAUGAAGGUGUGAUUAAAAAAAGUCGGUUGAACGAACUGACAAGAAAACAAGGUAUUGGACGGAAAGUUCGGUCCUUCGGAUAUCGUUCGUUCAUGUAAAAUCCUUGAAAAUUAUAUUUUUUUAAAAUUUUGUGAAAAACCAAGCCUUAUUAAAAUUCAUUCACUGUUUGUCUAUCAUGCACAAUUUA
rnacentral:lncRNA from 1 species